rnacentral:rRNA from 1 species
UUAUGGCUCAGGAUGAACGCUGGCGGCGUGCUUAACACAUGCAAGUCGAACGAAGCACUUAUCUUUGAUUCUUCGGAUGAAGAGGUUUGUGACUGAGUGGCGGACGGGUGAGUAACGCGUGGGUAACCUGCCUCAUACAGGGGGAUAACAGUUAGAAAUGACUGCUAAUACCGCAUAAGACCACAGAGCCGCAUGGCUCAGUGGGAAAAACUCCGGUGGUAUGAGAUGGACCCGCGUCUGAUUAGGUAGUUGGUGGGGUAACGGCCUACCAAGCCAACGAUCAGUAGCCGACCUGAGAGGGUGACCGGUCACAUUGGGACUGAGACACGGCCCAAACUCCUACGGGAGGCAGCAGUGGGGAAUAUUGCACAAUGGGGGAAACCCUGAUGCAGCGACGCCGCGUGAGCGAAGAAGUAUUUCGGUAUGUAAAGCUCUAUCAGCAGGGAAGAAAAUGACGGUACCUGACUAAGAAGCACCGGCUAAAUACGUGCCAGCAGCCGCGGUAAUACGUAUGGUGCAAGCGUUAUCCGGAUUUACUGGGUGUAAAGGGAGCGUAGACGGCUGUGUAAGUCUGAAGUGAAAGCCCGGGGCUCAACCCCGGGACUGCUUUGGAAACUAUGCAGCUAGAGUGUCGGAGAGGUAAGUGGAAUUCCCAGUGUAGCGGUGAAAUGCGUAGAUAUUGGGAGGAACACCAGUGGCGAAGGCGGCUUACUGGACGAUGACUGACGUUGAGGCUCGAAAGCGUGGGGAGCAAACAGGAUUAGAUACCCUGGUAGUCCACGCCGUAAACGAUGACUACUAGGUGUCGGGGAGCAAAGCUCUUCGGUGCCGCAGCAAACGCAAUAAGUAGUCCACCUGGGGAGUACGUUCGCAAGAAUGCAACUCAAAGGAAUUGACGG